CUUUCACUCUUUUGAUCAUCUCCUUGUGUCUCUUCACUUCGUUUUUGAUGGUAGAAUAAUUUAACUGAGCAUUUUUUUCAAACUCUAAAAGUGAAGCGAACAAGUUCUUCCUUCUGAGAAUUGGGAUUUUUUUUUUUUUUUUUUGAAGAAUGGUUUGGAUUUGCAAAAGUCAUCUUUGUACUCGGAAAAUGAACUUGAAUUGUAGAAUGAGAGUGUUCCUUUAACUUGAAAUAAAAUCUAUUUGGCCAUGGUCCAUUGACUCCAUCUUAUAACUCCACAUGAUAUUUGUGGAAACUUUUAACCUAUUAGGUAGAAAGGUCUCAACAUUAUAGUAAGUAAUCACCCAUCUCACCCCCAAGUAAUGCGGAUUGUAUUUCCUUAGCACAGUCUAGUUUUCGCCCAUGUUAUAAAUGUGGUGAUCAAUUCUACUAAAAGAUCAUUUAGGUUUAGUAAAAGUGAAGCUUUUCAUGGAUUUAGCUGGAGAGAAACAAUUUUCUAUACUAACAUUAUCGAAAAUGUUUAUUGAGGUGUGAGGGCUAUUUUUACGGGAGAGUUUGGGUGCUGCUUUAGCGGCUAUUCAGGGAGUCAGGGACUAAUUUAGGGAUGUGGGGGGCUGUUUUUGGGAUGGUUUGGGUACUACUCGGGGGCUAAGUCGCGAGCGGAUGUUGGGGCUGUUUUGGGGCGGAUUUGAGGGCUGUUUGGGCUUGCUUUGAGGCAACAACAACGGGGUGUUUGUUUGAGGCAUUUGCAAAGGAGGCAAAGGGUGACUUUAGAAACUUUUGGAUGGUGUUUUGGUCAAGGCAUAAGCAUUUGUAAAGUUAGCUCCUUUCUAAUUUAUUUUCCUUCUUCUUGUUAUUGUUGUUAGUUUUUGCUUAAAACAAAGAAGAAAACUUUGAGAGGUGGAGAGGUUGCGAGUAGCCAUAAAAAGACAUUAUUUAGGUUCUCGUCUUAUCUAUCAGUUCACCUAGGUUAGUGUCGUCAUGCCUAAUUAAAUAUGAUUCUCAUGUGUUGGACUCAUGUCCUUCUAUCAUAGGUGCAAAUGACCUUACACCCACAAGUCUGUGUAUUGUAGCCCAUAUAUCUCUUUUGGAGGAGCCAAUAACCAACGGCAGGCUUGAAGUCUGUGGAGGAUUAGCAAAAAGGCGCAAAUCCACUAAUCUGGUUGUGAGUGGCCCAAGGAACCUAUUUCAGGAUCCGGAUCUCAUACCAGAACCAAGCUCUGAAGCAGGUUCCAACUUCCAAUUGAUUCCUCACGUGGCUUUACCUUUUUGGGGUAUAAUCUCACGUGGUUUGACUCUUUUAGGAAGGAAAAUAGGGCGCAAAUGCAAGGAGACCAUUUGCUGAAACUUGGAAGGGAUGACUGCGAUUCCACCAAGAGUUUUUCACCAGGGAAGCCAAAGCCUGAUCGUGGUAACUUGACCUGUAUGGAAGCAAGAAAAGCUUGGAAACCUUCAAAUAACUUCGUGUCAGUGCAGGUUUCUGCCAACCUUGAAUAUAUGCAAAUGAAAAAUUUUAGCAAACCAAGACAUGGAUUUGGGGGAGUUCUGGCAGGAAAGACUUGAUCCACUAUUGACGUUGAUGAUGCAGCCCAACAAUUUGAAACACCUGCAAAAAUGAGACGGAAAAUAGCUAACACAGCACAAGAGGGUUCAAGUGAGAGUCGUGUCCCUAUUUCCAAAUGAAUGACAAUGGCAACACAACAGAGAACUCCAUCCCACUCAACUAAGCCUUGUCCAAAUUACCUCAGGUAUUGCUUCAACGACACUUCUGGCAGAGAAAGCUCAAUUGGCACAGGAAAACUCAGUCUUUGCACAGGAGAACCGCUUCGGCGCUUCCAAAGGGAGAUUGUUGAAUACCACCAGUUAACCAUGCAAGAUGUUGCAUGUAUAUUUGAAUGAGGGCACUGAAGAGGUUACUCAAGUUUAUCCCAUCAAGGUAUCUAUCACCUUCAGUAAGCACCAGUAUGCAAACUUCAGCCCUGUCCUCUCCAACUCCUGUGGUUCCCCAUGCACAAAAAACCCAUGAUGUUUCUCCUCUCCCUAUGCCAACUUCCCAAGUGUUUCUCCGUUGAGCUCCUUUAUCCACAAUUCAAGCGCGGAAGAUGUGGAAUGACGCUCAGAUCCUCCAUGGAUGUUGCAUGUCUCGCUUCCAAACAGAGGUUUGUAAGUUGUUAUGUUUGCAAAAUCAGUUUGGUUUCUUUGAUGGUAUGUUAUUUGUUGUCAUGAUUUCUCUUUGCCAGGCCAGUAUAAAAAGAAUUGCUACUAGUUGUGUUCGAUUUUAUAGCUUUGAGCUGUUCCACUGCCAUGUUGUUGUUAAGGAAUAAUAUGUAACUUUAGAUAGUGGUAUCUGGGAACUUUUUGUGCAGGCCUGUUACUAUUGGAAAACAUUUUACUGUUGCCAAAAUUAGGAACUUUCAGGAUAUGAAGCCAUGUAAAGUUGGUCCCCGAAUUGUAACAUUCAAUUUCUUAUUGCGCUGACAUUUAACCUGGUGCCAGUUGAGUAUGUUUGUUGCCA